AUACUCUCAUGAUACAGAUUACUUUCUGCCUUGAUGGUAACAUGAUCAACUUGAUCAAACUUACUCGUUGCUUGUAAUUGAAAUAAAUGCCUCGUGGAGGAUUUACAGGACGCAGAGCCUCAGCCCCCAUUGGCCCUCUAGCUCGGGUAGGGAACACGGCUCAGCUACCAGAAAUGUUGGGUCUUUUCGAUGUUGAGCUACAGGACGCAGGGCCUCAAACCCCAUUGAAUUUAUUCGAUGUGGAGGAAGAAAUUGAUGUUGAUGAAGAGGAUAAUGUCGAAGGGGAAGAAGGGGAGAGAAAUAAUACAAUGAGGGAUAGUCCUUCACCUACACAUGAUCAAGAUGGUCGUGUAUACUACAACUCAGGAAGGGACUGUUAGUGGUUAGCUAAUUUUAUACAUUUUUUAUAAUUUUUUGAAGUUACUAAACCUAUAGUGAUUUGCAGUUUGCACCCUUCGAGAGUUGUGGCAAACGUAUUACACGAUUGGUUUCAGAAUAUAGUACUCCCGCAUGCGUUCUUACAAAAUAAACUUACUGACGAAGAUGUUAAACAUAUUGGCUGGAAUUUCAGAACCAUGCUAACACUGAGCAAUAUAAUCAAGACCACGUCAAAUUUGCUUUUGGUAGAAGAUGCAGAAACAAAUACGGUGAUCAUAUAAACAAAUUGAAACAUAAGAAAAAAAAACCACCUUAUUUCAUUGAAGCUUUAUGGGAGGCUUACUCUAAUGCAUGGGAGGAUCCGGUUGCCAAGAAAUUCUUAGAAAACCGCAAACAGGGGUAUGAAAAGGCCCCGCCCACACAUGCUAAUGGAUCUGUUUCAUUUGAAGUCACUGUAGAAAGAAUGACCAAAGAGAAUAACGGGAAGUGUCCUGAAUUUAUAGAAGUCUAUAAAAGAACUCACACGCUAAAAGGCAAAGAUUCAGAAGAAGGGGUGUUGUGUUUGCAUCGCGCCAUAGAAACAAUGGAGAAAGUUAGUGCAAGGGCAGAUGAAUUACGGGCCAACGGGAUAGUAGAUCCAGAUUAUGAUGCCAUUUACUUUGAGCUGUUUGGGAAGCUAAACAAGAGAAAGCAAAUUUCUGGAGCCGGACAAACAACUAGCAUCUAUUUCCCUAAUGCUAGCAGUUAGUCCGCUUGUGGCUCAUUUGGAGUUAGUACGGAAGAGGUCCAGCGACAGGUACAAGCAAUGCGAGAGCAAGUCACUAUCGAGGUGCACGAGGACUUGGAGAAGAAACAUGAGCCAAUGGUCGCUAAGAUAGAAAGGCAAAAUGCGGAGUUGCGCUCGGAUUUAGAGGGAGAAUGAGAGGUUGUUAGAACAAAU